rnacentral:rRNA from 1 species
UGGGGAAUAUUGCACAAUGGGCGCAAGCCUGAUGCAGCCAUGCCGCGUGUAUGAAGAAGGCCUUCGGGUUGUAAAGUACUUUCAGUCGGGAGGAAGGUGUCAAGGUUAAUAACCUUGGCAAUUGACGUUACCGACAGAAGAAGCACCGGCUAACUCCGUGCCAGCAGCCGCGGUAAUACGGAGGGUGCAAGCGUUAAUCGGAAUUACUGGGCGUAAAGCGCACGCAGGCGGUUUGUUAGGUCAGAUGUGAAAUCCCCGGGCUCAACCUGGGAACUGCAUCUGAUACUGGCAAGCUUGAGUCUCGUAGAGGGGGGUAGAAUUCCAUGUGUAGCGGUGAAAUGCGUAGAGAUGUGGAGGAAUACCGGUGGCGAAGGCGGCCCCCUGGACAAAGACUGACGCUCAGGUGCGAAAGCGUGGGGAGCAAACAGG